CAGUUUGAGCUGCUGCCAACAUCUUAAAGUUCUUAUAAUGUUCAGCAGUGUUUUAGUUUGGGGCAGUGAACAAGUGAACUACUCAAACAUCAGAGGAAAAAAGCUACAUGUGAAGCUUUCUUCUAAUAAUUGUCUAGAAGCUAGAGCUCUACGAGGAAUUAGACAUUUGUACGUUGGAUAACCAUAGAAUCAUAACGUUGUUUUCAACUAUCUUUAAGGAAUGAUUUCAUUUGCAACAAAAUCUGUGGAGUUUCUUAGCACUUGGGAACCAUGAACGUUCCCUGACCUUCUGCUGUAUGCAUCCAAGAAACAGUCAGUGGUCAAAGACGGC